ACAUACAUAUAUACAUACAUACAUAUAUAUAUAUAUAUAUAUAUAUAUGUAUGUGUGUGUGUGUGUGUGU
rnacentral:miRNA from 1 species